rnacentral:misc_RNA from 1 species
GCUCCGAGAGCGAUAUGCCUUGGACCAAUUUGGUUGCCUGUGUUGUAUACCUACGUUGAUGGAAUUCGCUCGUCCAAUCACCCUUUAUUCACCUUGUGCUGCUUACGCGGUGCGGGAUGAACCAUGCAAUGUCCUUUGUUGUCCGUUCUUGCCCUGCGUUCGCGCGACGCAUGAAAUGGCCAAUGUUGUGACACUCGAAUUCUCGAAUACGGAACCUUAAGCGGGCAACGGGUCUUUGGCCUUGAUUUGCCCAAACUAAGUUCUUAAAAACGACUGUCGUGCCCGUUUUGACCUGAGGAUGCUUUCGGUCCGAC